rnacentral:lncRNA from 1 species
AAAAGAAAGAAAGGGGAUGAUCAAGCACAAAGGCUAGGAGGAUGGUCCAUUACUUCAACUCACACUUCAUGACACUUAGGAUAAACUUAUGCAUCAAUCCAAAGUACCUUAAAUGAUCCAUGAUCACCUAGAAGGUAGAUUUGAAAUAGUGAAAGUUCAUCAAGUAUCAAUCCACGCAUCAUGAACAAGAUGGACUCAAUCCAAUCAAUUCAUCAAAGGGAAAAGAAAGAGAUGAAGAAGAGAGACAUAAGAGAAGUC